GAACCGGGAUGAGCUCAAAUUUGAAAUCUGGCGUCUUUCAGGCGUCCGAGUUGUAAUCUAUAGAGGCGUUUUUCCGCGCCGGACCGCGUCCAAGUACUCUUGGAAUAGAGUAUCAAAGAGGGUGACAAUCCCGUACUUGACGCGACAACCGGUGCUCUGUGAUACGUUCUCAAUGAGUCGAGUUGUUUGGGAAUGCAGCUCUAAAUGGGUGGUAAAUUCCAUCUAAGGCUAAAUAUUGGCGAGAGACCGAUAGCGAACAAGUACCGUGAGGGAAAGAUGAAAAGCACUUUGGAAAGAGAGUUAAACAGCACGUGAAAUUGUUAAAAGGGAAACGAUUGAAGUCAGUCGUGUGGGAAGUAUUCAGCCGUCUCUGGCGGUGUAUUUGCUUCUCACGGGUCAACAUCAGUUUGAUCCGGUAGAAAAAGGCGGGAAGAAGGUGGCACCCUCGGGUGUGUUAUAGCUUCCUGUCAUAUGUGCCGGACCAGACUGAGGAACGCAGCUUGCAGCAAUGCCGGGGUUCGCCCACGUACAAGCUUAGGAUGUUGACAUAAUGGCUUUAAACGACCCGUCUUGAAACACGGACCAAGGAGUCUAACAUAUCUGCGAGUGUUUGGGUGUCAAACCCAAGCGCGAAAUGAAAGUGAACGUAGGAAGGAUGCGCAAGCAGCACCUUCGACCGAUCCGGAAGUAUUCUGAUGGAUUUGAGUAAGAGCAUAUAUGCUGGGACCCGAAAGAUGGUGAACUAUGCCUGAAUAGGGCGAAGCCAGGGGAAACUCUGGUGGAGGCUCGUAGCGAUUCUGACGUGCAAAUCGAUCGUCAAAUUUGGGUAUAGGGGCGAAAGACUAAUCGAACAUCUAGUACUGGUCCUGCAU
rnacentral:rRNA from 1 species